AUGCGUUUUACUCUGGACGGGAGGGAGAGCAAGCGGGCGGUGUAGGAGAAGAGAAGGAGAGACAGAGAGAGAGAGGGAAGGUACACUCGUGUCGUGCGAUAACCGUCGCCGAGGUGCAAACCAGCCGCGAAUUCGAAAGGCGGCCAGUCGCUGUUGGCGCGUCGGCGACGACGCGUCGCUCGUUCACUCAAAUACGGGAUCAAGACGGACGAUCGUUUCCGAAGGACUAAGAUCGAAGAGAGGAAGAAUUCUGGUGCCAUGUUCAAAAACGUUGUACGCUGUCACCGACAAAAUUGGAUCGCACCAUCGUCCCAGGGAAGGAACGAAGAAGCGUCGAGACGAAUGUCGUAGUAGAAGACGAUUCUACGAAUCGGCGAUUCGAAUGAGCUUCGAGAGGAUACCUUAUGUCGGACGUCGUCGUCGUCGUCGUCGAGAAGCAUGAAUUCAGCAAGAGACAGGACGCAGAUUAUAACCGGGCGCAGAAUCACGUAAUAUUGCAUGGCGUGUGUCACGUGUCGCGACAAAGUCGAGAUAACUUUUCCUGGUGCAAACGAGAGGAUUAGUAGCAGGCGGCGAUUUAAUCGCACGCUAAGUUAACGCGACCGCGGCUUCUUUCAAUUGGAAAAAAAAA